GCGGGGGCUGAUAUUGAAGAGGGCAGAAUCAAAUGAGACGAGAACACAACUGAGGCACGAGUAAAAGGGUAGACAGCACAUACGCAGGCGGUCUUUGCCUUUCUUGGACAAACAAGGACACUGGACAAAGCAUGGAAAUGAAUAAUUAUUCCAUGGACUAAUUUUUCCACCAUCACACAAAGACCAAUCCAACUUUCAUCAGCAACUGGGGUUUAGUUAGAAUGAAGAUCAAAUGGGUAUUUUUUUUGUUUUAUGUUUUAACCCAAUAGCUGUGAGUUUUGUAAUUAUAUGGAAUAGUCUCAAUUGUGUUUAACAUUUUCACUUUUAACGUCUCAGAAAUAUAUAGGUUUUUGGACGUCUUGUAAUUAAAGCUAUAAUAUGUAACUUCUGUCACCCCAUAGGCUGGAAUUCAGUAUUACAACAACAGAACCGUCGUGCUAUGUGAUUGAGGCGGCCCCUGUAUGUGAUGAUUCUACAGCAUUCUACAAUAUUUUUAUUCUGUUUUUGAGGACAGCCAGUGGGGAAAAAAGACAGAUUCUUCGGAAGAGGCAAAUAUUGUAAAUUCCAUAUUAUUGCUGCGUUUUGUGCAUGCAUUGCUUGGACAUUGCUGAACUUUAUUUUACGUCAGGCACGUUAUUGGGCAACUAAGAUGUCUUAGGGAAGAUGUGUGGAUUUUGUUCGCGGUCAGUUAUUGUUUUUAUCAUCGAAGCCUGUCUUCCCAUGAUGAAGGGUGAACCAGCGCUGGAAUGUCUCCGGUACUGGGGUGAGCAGAGUGGAUCCUAGAUUGGACUGCUCAGAUGUGGGUGAAGCUGCCUAGAAAAUCUUUCUGCCUGGGUGCAAGGACUUAGCUACUGCUUCAGACACCCACUGCCUGUGUGCCAGGUUGUGAUGAGGUGCUGCCAGACAGUCCUGCUCCCGUCACCAUUUCCUGAUCGCUGCAGGGCUUUGAAUACCGAGUGUUAAUGGCUUGAUCAGUGGAACGCCUGUGCAUCUUUUAAUGUGGGGAGACUGGUGCACAGACAGCCUCCACACAGUCCUUGGCAUAGAGCGGGCCAGUAUCCAGUGACAUGGGGGACAAGACAACUGGGGACCCGUCUUUACUGCAGCCUUUGUCCGCCCUCCCAGCCAUUGUGGUGCUAAUAUUGCCGCCAUCUUCCGCCUGGUCCCCCGUUAAGGUCUUCACUAGUUAUCCAUUGAUGGAUCUAUUUGGCCAUAGUUGGGGCAGUGGUUGAUGGGCAUCUAUACAUUUCCAUACACCGGUGGGCCUGCAUGCCACGUUUUUGGGGCCCACUGAUGCUUCCCGAUUCCAUACAAUUGAGCCUGGUACCGCGAGGUACCAGUUACCAUGUGCGGCCACGAGGAGGCAUGUAUGGGUCUUGGCAGUGAAGAGGCUGUCUACCAGCGGAGGAGGCUUACGCACUCGGCUCCUCUUUUCACCCCUGGAAACAAAGGGCUAACGAGUGGCAGCAGCUGAAAGCAGAAGAUAACAAGCAGGAGCCCCAUGCAACAUGCACUAACUACAAGAACUACUACUCCAACACUACUGCAUUGAAAAGUUUCACAUGCCCUUAGUGCAAGCACACGACACACACUACACGACACUUUAGAACCAAAAGAACCACCUCUAUGGCAAUAAUUCAAGCAAUUGAAGAAAUGACUCAUGCACUUGAUCAGGAAAAAUACACACUCGGUAUCUUUGUUGAUCUUAAAGAAGCUUUUGAUACAAUAAGUCACUCAUUGGUGUUUAAAAAUUUGGAAAAAUAAAGAAUUUGGGGAGUAGCUGGAGACUGGUUAAGAAGUUAUCUAACGAGAAAGAUUCAGUAUAUGUUGAAAUGGGGCUGUAUACAUCAGAAAAAUUGUUUGUUGUGUCCCCAAGGGGUCUGUGUUGGGGCCACAACUGUUUAAUGUGUAUAGAAAUGAUAUUUUUAAUGUAUCUCAAUGACUAAAAUUCAUACUUUUUGCAGAUGACACAAAUAUGUUCUGUAGCAGUAGUAAUUACAAUGAGCUUUUAGAUACUGUGAGCAUCCAUCCAUUCAUUUUCUGAGCCGCUUCUCCUCACUAGGGUCGCAGGCGUGCUGGAGCCUAUCCCAGCUAUCAUCGGGCAGGAGGCGGGGUCCACCCUGAACUGGUUGCCAGCCAAUCGCAGGGCACAUACAAACAAACAACCAUUCGCACUCACAUUCACACCUACAGGCAAUUUAGAGUUGCAAUUAACCUACCAUGCAUGUUUUUGGGAUGUGGGAGGAAAUCAGAGUGCCCAGAGAAAACCCACGCAGGCAUGGGAAGAACAUGCAAACUCCACACAGGCGGGCCCGGGGUUUGAACACCGCUCCUCAGAACUGUGAGGCAGACGCUCUAAUCAGUCGGCCACUGUGCCGCCUUACUAACUAAACUAAAUUAAAUAAAAGAGUGGCUGGACAUAAAACAAAUAAACUGACAUAAAACAAAUAAACUGUAAACUGCACAUAAUUGCUGGAGGUACUCUAAUUGAGAAUGUGAAUGAGACAGAAUUUUAGGAGUUAUAAUUGAUAGCAAAUUGUCUUGGAAAGCCCAAGUCAGACAUAAAAAAAAUAAAAAUUCCAAAAAGCUUCUCAAUUAUAAAUGAAACAAUAUCUUGAAGACAAUAUGAUUUGCACACUAUGUGCACCCUAGGACUCCCAUAUUUCAUGUAUUGUGUUAAUUGAUCCAUUAAUCAUAUUGCAGAAAUGCGCUCUGUGCGUCAUUCACAAAUUUGGAUUUGUCGAACAUUCUCAUAAUCUGUUUAUUCAGAAUUGCUAAAAUAAAUUGCUAAAAAUUAUUUACCUUGUAAAUUAUAGCACAUCAAUAAUCCUGUUUAAAAAAUAAAUAGAUAAACUAUCCUACAUCUACUUUGCAAUAAGUGAAAAAGCCCAUAAUUUGAGAGGAUAUGGAGACCAAAGGUUCGAACUUUUUGUGUGUCUGUAUGUAGUGUGAAAUUUUGGAACAGUCUGGAUAUGCAACACAAGCAAUGCCAAAAUAUUCAUAGAUUUAAACUGUCAUAUAAACAUAUCAUCUGGUCUCUGUAGAGGGAGAUAGAGACUGUCUAGUGAUUGCUUGUGCUUUGUUCCUUACCAUUGUUGGUAUAUGUCUUUUAUUAUUGCUGGUAUAGUUGUUUUAUACCACCGUUGGCAUGUCCUAUACAGUAUUCUACCAUCACCUUUCUUACCAUUGCUGGUAUGAAAAUAUUGUUACAAUGUAACAGUCUCUGUCUUUUGCUUAUAGUAAUGCCACCAUGAAAUAACCUUUUGUCAUUUUAGUUAUUGAUUUGUGAAAUAUUGUUCUAUAUUAAUGUGUGUAACAGUCAUUCAUAAAUGAAUACAUUAAUACAUAUAAAACAUUUAUGUUUUCACAUUUAACAAUACAUUUCUGCUCUAUCAGUAAGUACUUAGUUUGUGGUUAGAUCUUCUAUUGUGUUUAUAUAAAUGAGAAAUGGGGGUGGGAUUUAAGUUUUUCUUCUUCACACUCCCUCUCAGACAUAAAUGAAAACUUUUUCUUCUUGCUUUUGCAUGGUGGCCUUCUUUUGUUGGUAUAUAUGAAACUAGUUAGAGGAAGUAAUUAAUCUCCUUAGUCUUCAUUGUGAAAUGCCUUUGCCUGAAAAAAAUGAAUAAAAACGUAAAGGUUGGUGACCA